AGCAGGGCGCACUUGUGCGACAUGCUGUCUGGGCACCAGAGACGCUAACCCGUAUGAGCAUGGAGGGCGAUAGCCCAGAAUGCGAAUACGGGUAGGAUUGCGGGAGCGCCAAAGGCGCGGAGCAAUCCGUGGC
rnacentral:sRNA from 1 species